GGGCCCGUAGCUCAGCAUGGUCAGAGCACACGACUGAUAACCGUUCGAUAGAGUUCAAAUCUCUCCGGGCCCACCA
rnacentral:tRNA from 1 species